UUUUUGGGAUUCUAUUUUCUUUGGUUUGUCCAUUAUGUUAUAUUCCGAAUUUAACCCGUUGGUCCUGGUUGGUUUUAUUGAAGGUCGAGGACUUUUUUGUCCAUUUACAAAUUUCAGAACGCUAUAUAUAUUUGGAGGCGAGAAUUUAUCAGAUCCAUAAUUCUGUUUGGUUGGACGGAGAGGGGACCGAGAAAAGAGCGAAGAUGAUAAAAGCUGUGAUGUUCAUGAACAUUAAAGGCAAGCCUUAUCUUGCAAAAAUUUACGAAUAUCUGCCAGUGGAGAAGCAGAGGGAGCUUAUACGCAACAUUUUUGGAUGUCCCGAUCCUUUACCAGCUUCUUCUUCUUCUUCGAUUAAUUUGAAUUUUAUUCUGUUUGGUUCGCAUGAACCUUGUAUUCAUUUUUUGUAAUCUCGUUCAUUAUUUGACCUAGUCGAUCAUUCUUGAGUUCUUACUUGAGAGUUUUUUUUAUUUAUCUAUUUUUUUUUGCUUUCAAUUUUUAUUUUGAUCUUUUAACAAUCUUGUGCAGUAGAGCUGAGAACACAAGCAAUUUCAUAGAGGUGAAGCCAAUUUUUUUCCGGAGAGUCGCCUUGUCUACAAGCAUUUUACAACUCUUUACUUUGUCUUGAUAUUUGAUAGUUCUGAAAAUUAACUAGCUGGGCUUGACUUGAUACGAGUUUUUGUGCAAACAUUGGACAAAUGCUUCAGGAAUGUUUGUGAGCUUGAUAUUGUGUUCAAUUACAGCAAGUUUGUAUCCUCUCUUCACUCUAUAUAUGUGUAUAUUUAGUGCCGGGGAAUGUAAGAUUCUACAAAUAAAUAUGAUAUAGCAUCUUUACUUUGAUUCCAUAAAGUGCAUUUUUGUUUAAUUUUUUAUUCUUUUGAAUGCAAAACUAAGCUAAUCUUAUAGGAGAUGAUGUUGUUGGGAAACGUAUAUGUUGUAUGCUUAAAGUUCCAAACAUUGGUGCUCGGGGUUUUGCUUGCAAUUGAGCUUGUCUAGAGUUACUUUGGAAGUUAGCUUUGCCUAAGUUCCCUAGUAUUUUGACAUGACAGCUCAUGCUGUUGAUGCCGUAGUCAAUCCUUAGUUGCUGGCCUGGCAAAGCAGAGCAUUAGUGCCUUUAUGCCCUGCUUGCCAAGGACUGUCUUUGGAAUAUGCUCGAUAACACUUCUUAUGACAUCAUUAUAAUGUCCAAGAUACACACUAUGCUGAUGAGAUAAUUUUUGGAGGUUAAGUGCUGGAAACAAGUUCAAUGGAAAUUAUGAAGGCCGUAGGUUAGAAGCUGCCUCAAACGCUACAACACUCAAUCCGAAGUCUGCUUCUGGUCGGCGAAGUAGUUGGUUCUGCAUUCAAAUACUGUUAAAAUCAAUCCUCGAAUUAUUUCUUCUCACUGUGAGUUAGUAACUUGUGAUUUUAACUAACUUGGGCAGGUGGUCAAGGGACUGGUGAAAGCUUAAACACUCAAGAGUGAAAAGAUCUUUUUUCUUAUUGGUAUACAUAAUCAAAAAAUUUAGAGGUAUUAUACUUAAACUAGUAUUUAUCUGCUUCAUAGUAGGAAAUUAAUACAUGUAAGUAUUUGUAGUAACAUGGUGUUUUACCAGCACAUGCUCACAACUGAGUAUAGAUCCUGAUUUUUGCAAUUCUUAUUUGCUUUUAGACCUCAAGUUAGGGUUAUAACUUUUAGAGCAGAGAUUUCUGGUGUUGUUUUCUCUGUUCUUUUAUUUUAAUUUUUUUGGCCUUUUGCUUUUAAAGUGAAGCACGCAUCAGCUAGAUUUUACCAUCAUUUUCAUAGGGCUUUGAAGUUUUCUUGAAUGGUUCAGUUCUUUUUCUCAACCAAUUCGUUCUCUGCUACGCUGAAUGACUAUGCCAAGUGUUGUUUGGCAACUGUUAUUCUCUCGGUUUUAUGAUUCGUUUUUUAUUUUCUUUGUGGCGAUAAACAUUAAUAUUUCUUCAAAAAAAGAAAAUAAAAAACAAGUUUCUGGAAACAAUAUU